AUUUUCCACCAUUUUAUAUCACAGUAAACUGAAAAUCUUUGGGUUGGUCUGACAGAACAAGACAUCUGAAGAUGUCACUGUGAGCUUUAGACCAAACAAAUCUAUUGAUCAAAAACAUACUUUAAAAAAAACUAUUAUAUUAAUAGAUAAUGAAACCGUAACGGAAACUUGAUCUUGUUUUACUGUGAACUUCUUAUUCUCCCUUUUGAAACUUUUAUACCAUAUUUUGAUUAUAAGUAAACUAGAGAAAAUCUUUCUCUGCAUCCAAACCUUUUCCCGAUUUUACAACUAAGACACACGAUAUUAAAUAAAACACUUAAGAAUUACAAUAAAAUUAGGGCUCCAACUAACCAUUAUUUUUAUUGUCGAUCAAUGUGCUGAUAAGUUCUUUAAAAUUAUAGAUUAUUAUUGAAAAUAUUUUUAAAAUGUCCAAAACCCAAACAUUCAGUUUACAAUGAUGUAAAACAGAAAAGCAGAAAAUCCCAACAUACGAGAAGAUAGAACUCGGGAUUGUUUGGUGUUUUUGCUUUAAAAAAACUCAAAAUUGUUUCCAAUUAAUUUUCUAUUGAUCUACUAAUUGAUUAAUCAACCAAUCAUUGCAGCUCUAAAUAAAAUAUACUAUGAAUUUAAGUUGUAUUUAAUCAGGACAUCAGUUUUAAUUCCUGACCUCCUGUGUCAACCAGGAGGAAGGAUGAUAAACCUCCCAAACUCUUCUUCUUCUUCUGUGGUUUCUGGUGUGUUCAGGAGGAAGUAAAAGGGCUGUGACCCUCCGUCAUCACAGAAAUGUCACAUUGCUGAUGUUUGUACUUCACCUCUGCCAAACUGCCUCUCGCUCCGAGUGAGGGCGUCUUCUUCAUCGUUGGUGCUACAAACCGCAGGGCCGCCGCCGCCGCUGCCGUCGCCGUCGGCCCGCGCUGUUUUCCAUCCUGUAAUCGCAGAUUUGUAUAAAAAACAUUUUUGUCGACGCUCAUAUCGAGGUGUGAUCACUCUGAAUGCAGCUGAGUGUGUUUCUGAGUGUGUUGUUGUCUCCCUCCGUCCUGUGACAACGAGCUUCAGGUCGGUUAAAGUGACGCUGUGACAUUUUUUGACCGUUAAAAUCAUUCAUGUUGCAUGAUGGGAGAGUUAAGCUUUAGCACUCGCCAUGAAGCGAGUGCAGCUGAGCUUAUACGCUCGCUGCUGCAGCACUCCCCAAUAUUUCUAAUUAAAUGAGCACUAAUGAUGCUAAUAUGUUGUUUUUUAUCACUAAAGUGAAUAAUAUGUACAAUCUUGCCACUCAAUAGAAAAAACGUUUCAACUAAAAUGUCUCGGCCUCCCUUUAACCGCUGAGUCUCGGCCCUUUUCAGACAGAACUGAAACAAAUGAAAAGUUGCACUGUUAAAAAGUUAAAACAAGAGAAAGUCCUUGUAUGUUAUGAAUUUAUUGUUAUAUGCAUUGAGAAAAUACAUCAAGUAUUUAUGAGUGAUGUAACCUUCUGCUUUACGCUUGCACUCGGCUGGAGAAUUUUUAUCUCAAGAAUUUGGUCAGAAUAAUAAUCCUAGUUUGAAUUGUUGAGUUGAGAGCUUAGCAGUAUGAAUAAAGAGGAAAAACAUUCUGUUAUAUUAAAGUUGCAGUAACUGGAGCGAUCUGGAGAGAUUUAAACUACACAGACAGUUGAAAGCAACAUUUCAUUUGAUGGACGACGUCUACAGCAGCAGGAAGCUGAACCACGUCUGAAUGAAUCAGUGUAGAUCAAACAAACUAGUUUAUCUGACGUGAGGUGUCACAUGACUUGAAUCUGGAGACUUUAGACUCGACAAAAUUAUAAAAGACCUUCAGCUCAACUUUGACUUAAAACUUGUCUUGACUCGUGACUUUGUGUGCAGCCAAUAAACAGUUAAUGUUCCUGACAACAGAUACUUUGAAUCAGUCCAACAGCAGCCAGUUAUGUUGCAGAGCAGGACGGAAAAUUGCAUUCAACAAAGUACAGAACCUGGACUUCACUUGGGACUUGUCCUGACUCAGGACUUAAUGUAGGACUUGUUGGUCGACUCAGGACUUAAUGUAGGACUCGUUUGUCGACUCAGGACUUAAUGUAGGACUCGUUGGUCGACUCAGGACUUAAUGUAGGACUCAUUAGUCUUGACUCAGGACUUAAUGUAGGACUCAUUGGUCUUGACUCAGGACUUAAUGUAGGACUCAUUAGUCUUGACUCAGGUCUUAAUGUAGGACUCGUUGGUCGACUCAGGACUUAAUGUAGGACUCGUUGGUCGACUCAGGACUUAAUGUAGGACUCGUUUGUCGACUCAGGACUUAAUGUAGGACUCGUUGGUCUUGACUCAGGACUUAAUGUAGGACUCAUUGGUCUUGACUCAGGACUUAAUGUAGGACUCAUUAGUCUUGACUCAGGUCUUAAUGUAGGACUCGUUGGUCGACUCAGGACUUAAUGUAGGACUCGUUGGUCGACUCAGGACUUAAUGUAGGACUCGUUGGUCGACUCAGGACUUAGUGUAGGACUCGGUCGACUCAGGACUUAAUGUAGGACUCGUUUGUCGACUCAGGACUUAAUGUAGGACUCGUUGGUCUUGACUCAGGACUUAAUCUAGGACUCGUUAGUCCUGACUCAGGACUUAAUGUAGGACUCGUUGGUCGACUCAGGACUUAAUGUAGGACUUGUUGGUCUUGAUGUGGGACUUGAUUCAAGAUUUGUUGGAUUUGACUUGGAACUUGUUAUUAACUUGGGACUUUCUGUGGGACUCGUUAGUCUUGACUCGAGACUGUCUUGAUGAGACUUUUUUGUCUUGACUUGGGACAUAAUUUGGAACUUGUUUUUCUUGAGGUUUGACACCCAGCCCAGCGACCUUGAAGUUGACAUUGAUGUAGGUCUUGUUAGUCUUGACUCAGGAAAUGACUCGUGACUAGUUGGUCUGGACUUGGGUCAGGUGACACUGAACAUGGUCUUCCUUUGAAGCAUGCUGAGGCAUCAAUGCUUCCUGAUUCUUGAACGUCUAAAGUAAUGAACCUGAAGCAGUUUUUUUACUAAGGCCUAAAAUGGCUAGAAGUGUAUCUUUAACUUCCUGACAGUUUAUUAGUUCAAACACCCGUAAAACCCCCAAGGAAUUACAGGGAGCUGGUCCACUGGUCCACUGGUCUGUUGAGGUCUGUUGAGGUCUGAUGAGGAGCAGUGUGUAUCUUAGACCGGAUAUCAAAGUGAAAUGUUGCUUUUAGCGUCUUGUGAAUCUACAGUCGAGGUAAAAGGUUCAGAGUGAAAACAAAGCAGCUGUUUUCCCUUUGCAGGACCUGCUGGGUUGAACUGGGCAAACUGGAAAUAUGAAAUAACUUUGUAAAAGAUCUGGACAUGAAAGGAUGUGAACGAGAUCUAAAAGGAACUCAAGAAAGGAUUCAGUGCACGUCAGAGGAAGUCAAAGUUUUGACCAGUUUGAUCCACUAACUGGGCUAACUGGAUAUUUUCUGCAGUAACUGUGGGUUUGUUAAAGGACUUGAAGUUCAGCAGCUUUUUGUAAUCUUCAUCUAGAAGGAGUUUGAGAAAAGGUUAAAGGGAUGUCACAGAUGGCAUGAAACCCCAGUUUGGUUAUUAAACUGGGCGGACUGGAAAUUCCUUCAAAAACUAUGUAAAUGUUUGGAAGGAGCCUGAAAGAUGAGCAGACUGCUGAAGUGAAGAUCCAAAAUAAAUUUGAGAAGCAGUUCGUUGAUGGUAGCUAAUUGGCUUGUGUAGGGACACUGGACAUGUGGAGUCUCCUGCAGAAAUAUCUAGAAGCCUGGAAAAAUCUUGAAAUUCAGGAGCACUUGUAAAGUUAGCCUCUAUAAGGAGUUUGAGGAAUGAUUUAGAAGAAGUUGUGAUGGCAAGAAGCUCCAGUGGCUCAAUUUAGCCUUUUAACUGGAGCAACUGGAGCAGUUGGACUCUGUAGAGUUUCCUUCGAGAUCUGUGUGAACAUUUGGAAGAAGCCUGGAAGUCGAGAUUCAAAAGGAGUCAGGGAAGUUGUCCAUGGCAGGUCAAUAAUGGGACUUUGGUCUGCAAACUGGACUUUUGCAAAGUUCUAAAUAUCCAGAUGUUUAGCAGAACUCUGAAAGAUCAGAACUAAAGGGAGUUUCAGAAAUUGUUUAGAGCAACUCAAAGAAGACAAGAAGCUCCAGUUCGACUCAAAAGUUUCCUUCUGAAUCUCAGUGAAGAUUACUGGCAGCGCUCUGGAAGUCAAAGAUCCAAAUAGAAACCAGAAUAUGGUUCAUGAGGAGUCACUGAUGGGCAGAUAAGUGAUAAAUAAAUAAAUCGGCUCAUUGGACGUGUUGAGUUUCUUGCAGAAACUGUAAGAAGUUUGGAAGUUCAUCAGUUCUGUGAAAGUCAUGUUCUAAAGGGAAUUUGAGGAAUGGUUUAGUUCAAGUCGGCCCCAGUUUGGCUCUAUUUGGCCCUUUAACUGGACCGACUGGGCCAGCUGGAGAUUUCUUUAAAUUCCGUGUGAACAUUUGGAAGAAGGUUGGAAGAUCAGCAGCAGUUUGGAAGUCAGGAUCCAAAAGAAAAACAAAGGAAUGGUUCAUGGGAAGUCAGAAGUUGUUGAGCUUAGUGGGUUAACUGGAUAUGUGGAGUCCCUGCAGAAGGUUUGUAAAAACUUGAAUAAACUCUGAGAUCCAGAAGGGGUUUGAGAAAUGGUUUAUAAGAAGCCAAGAAGCCCCAGUAUGGCCCUUCAACUGGACACAACCCCAGUUUAACUGGACAUGUUUCCUGUUUCCUUUAUUGGUAUAAAUGUUUGGAAGAAGCCUGGGAGAUUGGCAGAACUGUGGAGGCAAGUAUGUAAAAGGAGUCUGAGAAAUGGUUCAGUUAGGUCCAGUUUGGCCCACUUCUCAGGCUAACUGGGAUAACUGGAUAUGUGGAGCUCCCUGCAGAAGCUGUGUAAAAAGUCUGGAGGCCUGGUUGGACUGUGGAAGUAAAGUUCUAAAAGACGUUUGACAAAGCCAGUGAAGACAAGAAAACACCAGUUUGGCCCAGUUUGGCCCAGUUUGGCCCUGCAUUAGGAACCUGACUUUGAGGGUUGAGGUGGUUGUGGGAAUCUUUUCACUGUGGAGCUGUGUUGCUCAAAAAAACAAAACCAGAAACGGGUCAGAUAAUCAAAGAUAAAAGGAUCGGGAUUCGGGUAGCGGUGCGUCGACCUUAAAGGAUCAGACUCAAUGACAUAACGUCCUCUGAUGUCACUUCCUGUACUGGAUCCAUCUGCGGUGCGUGAAGCUGCUGCGAGCAUCCCUUUUAACUUCAGCAUAUUGUUGCUAAAUUAAUUGUCGUACCUUCAUCUGAUGUCAUUUCACUGUGAUCUAAAGAUGUCCAACAUUAAUAUGAUUUAUUGAAGUUAAAUGAUGCUCAAAGCCUUUUAAACACGACUCAUCACAGACUUUUAAACUCAAACUGUUAACCGCAUUAAAAGCUUUUAGACGGCACACAGGUAAACAGGAAGUGUGUCUGAUGAUUUUCAGCAUAUUGAAGCCUUUGUUCUUCAGGGAUUUGGCUCGUUUGAAGUCACGUCAGAGUCGUCACAGUCAAAUUAAUCAAGAUGUUUUCAAACAGCUCGAUUCAUGUGACUGACGAGUCUCUGAAUGACCCAGAAGAGCUUAAAAUACCUGAACUCACAACCAAUCAGAAGAGAAUAAAGCAAGAAAUUCACUUUCCUUUGAUUUGAUUUAUUUUGAAGAAACAAAGAAAUACAUAAAACCACUUUUAUUGAACUUAUUCUCGCUGCAACACAAAGAAAAGUGUUUAAAUUCUAAAAAAAAAAAAAAAGAAAGAAAAAAGGAUUUGAUGAACUUGUGAUGACGUCUUGAUGAUUGAAGGUGAAUCGAAGGUUCAGGUGACGAGAUGACGAGACGUUUGUACGACUGAGCUGAUCCUGGUCAAACACUGCAGUUAAUGUGAUGAUGAUGAUGAUGAUGAUGAUGAUGAUGGUUCACUCCCAGUUUAAACUGAAAGUAGCUCUGUUUGCUUGUCAGAAACCCACUCAGGAGGUUCCAGGAUUUAUUUUUCCUGUUUCCAGCUCAGUUUAAGACAUUUGAAAUCCUAAAAAUACAGAAAAAUGUGAAUUUGUGUUGAUAUUAAAGAGAAACGUUCAGACUUUUUGCCCUGAGUGGAGCCUUCCAGGCGCUGCUACCUCUCAGACUCAGGAACUCUGGGUAAUGAAGUCCUCCACAGACUCUGAGCAGGAUUCUGACAUCAAACAGCAACAUUUAGAGCUUCAUGCUGCCAUUUUCUGUUCUUUCUGUACAAAUAAGAGAAUCACAAUCAAGUUGUUUUUUGCCAUCAAUGUUUUUACUAAAUCUAUAAAAUGCUUAUUGUUAAUUUAUCUUCUGUUUUGUUUGUUCUUGUUGUUGUCUGUCUUUGCUAUUUCAUGCGAUUGUACAGCUUGUUGAUGUGCAGAUUUUAUUAUUAUUAUUGUUGUUAUUGUUGUUUAAAGUAUCUUUGCUUUGUGGAAGAUGCUGCCGGCUUCCUGCAUGGUUUUCCUGUGAAUGUUUGUCUGUUUUUGUAUUUUAUUAACUUUAAAAUUUUGGAGAAAAA